AGUGAACGCUGGCGGCAGGCCUAAUACAUGCAAGUCGAACGGCAGCACAGCAGAGCUUGCUCUGUGGGUGGCGAGUGGCGGACGGGUGAGGAAUACGUGGGAAUCUGCCCAGUCGUGGGGGAUAACGUAGGGAAACUUACGCUAAUACCGCAUGCGCCCUUUGGGGGAAAGCCGGGGAUCUUCGGACCUGGCGCGAUUGGAUGAGCCCACGUCGGAUUAGCUAGUUGGAGGGGUAAAGGCCCACCAAGGCGACGAUCCGUAGCUGGUCUGAGAGGAUGAUCAGCCAUACUGGAACUGAGACACGGUCCAGACUCCUACGGGAGGCAGCAGUAGGGAAUAUUGGACAAUGGGCGCAAGCCUGAUCCAGCCAUGCCGCGUGAGUGAAGAAGGCCCUCGGGUUGUAAAGCUCUUUUGUUGGGGAAGAAAAGCCUUGGGUUAAUACCCUGAGGUUCUGACGGUACCCAAAGAAUAAGCACCGGCUAACUUCGUGCCAGCAGCCGCGGUAA
rnacentral:rRNA from 1 species